CUCGAUUUUAAGUAUAUUUAAAUGUCACUCGAGCAAAACAACUAAUAAAUUUAUCACUUCUCAAUAAUAUCUAUCCAGUGAUAUCACACCGACAUGAGUUCAAAAGAUAAAGUAAACGACGAAUUAUUGUAUACGGCUCGGUCACUCGUUAUGGUCCGCGAACCAGUUGCCAACGCAAGAGGUUAAAAGAGGGAAAGAGGUUGGAGAGGGUCGGAAGG